UUUUUAUUUUUGUUGUCUUUUGGCAGUGAUGAUAUGAAAUACAGCUUUAAUGCCAGUUCUGCUUCUGAUAUUCUGUGAUUGAUAGAGCUGUUUAUUUUACUGAGCCUUUUAAUUGUAUAUAGUAAUUUUUUUUAAUUUAUAGUUAUAUCUAUGAUGAGAUCUGAAAUUGCUGGAUAGUAUUUGAGGAUUGUAGUCAGCCUACAUUCAUCAUGAAAUUAGUUAAUUUCUCUGAGAUUAAUAAAUUACUAUUUUUUAUAUAUACCAUAAUCUUUUUCUUAAAACCCCAUUUUUAUUUUUAUUUUAGUAGCCAGUGAUGAUCCAAUCCAACGGUGAGGUGUAGUGGAGCUAAGGUCCCUGCUUUGCAGGGGGAACCUCCUUGGUUACGCUACGUCAUACAUGAUCACAACGGAUUUUACUGAGGCUUUAAUUUUUAUUUUUUAAAUUAUAGCUUGGUUAAUUUGCUAAUUGUUGAUAAAAAAAUGAAAUAAUUUUAAUGCAUUUAUAAUUGAGUUUUAACUAUACUCUUGCUCUAGAACAUAUAGUGGGGUUAGGGUCUGAAAAACUCAUAAAGUUAGUGCUGUUUAUCAGCUUCUUCUCUUGAAUAUCCAACGAGAAGGGGUUAAAUCAUAGCACUAAAUGUUAUGCUUUUAAUGCAAAAUUACAUUGACUAUAUUAAUAUCUUUUGUAUUUUCCAGUAUAAUCUUGUUUUAUUGUUUUGUUGAAGGUACAAUCCCAAAUGAUCUGUUUUGAUUUUUCUUUAUGGUUUUAUUUAAUUUUAUAGGUUCUUGAAUUGAGUUUUAUCAAUUUGUAUAUGCUCACCUUGCUUUAGUGUUGGUGAGUGUACCUGAAAACUCAUAAAUUGUGUGCGGUCCAUCACCUCCUAUCUUGCAUAUGUCACUAAGAUUGGAGUUAAAUAUCAGCACUACAUAUUAAAAUAUUUAAUCUAUUUGGUCCCUAUUUUUUCUAUAAAGGCCUUGAAUUCUAGGUUUCUUGUUUUGUUGAUUUGAUGUCGCUGCUGGGAUGUCUAAUAUAUACUUUAAUGUUUCUGGAGGGAUGAUAAUUAAUUGAAAUUUUUGCGAAGGUAGAUUGUUAUGCAGGGUGUAUCAUUUGGAUAUAUCCAAAGGGAACAGACCUCUUUUAAUUUGACAUGUAUAAGAUCAAAAAAGUAAAAUAGUUAAAUGUAGAGUAAUCAUUUUACACACGUCAAACUUACAUUUCAAGAUUCCAUGUAAUCUAAAGAGACCUAUAAACCACAUUUUGAGCUAACUUUAAUUGCCAUACAUUUAUAACUUAAUUAUGAUUAAUUAAUAUAUGGUUUAACCUUAACUUGUAACUUCUCAGAUGAUUUUUGUUUUUGUCUUUGCGAUUGUGGCUAUAUAUUUUUUGAAAGCCGUAGUAUUUUU